rnacentral:rRNA from 1 species
UCAAGUAAUUAAGUGCAUGUGGUGGAUGCCUUGGCAGUCAGAGGCGAUGAAAGACGUGAUAGCCUGCGAAAAGCUCCGGGGAGGCGGCAAAUAUCCUUUGAUCCGGAGAUGUCUGAAUGGGGGAACCCACCUACUUUAAGGUAGGUAUUGCAACAUGAAUACAUAGUGUUGCAAGGCGAACGAGGGGAAGUGAAACAUCUCAGUACCCUUAGGAAAAGAAAUCAAUUGAGAUUCCCUCAGUAGCGGCGAGCGAACGGGGAUCAGCCCAUUAAGUUAUGUGUGUUUUAGUGGAACGCUCUGGGAAGUGCGAACGUAGAGGGUGAUAUUCCCGUACACGAAAGGGCACACAUAAUGAUGACGAGUAGGGCGAGGCACGUGAAACCUUGUCUGAAUAUGGGGGGACCAUCCUCCAAGGCUAAAUACUCCUGACUGACCGAUAGUGAACCAGUACCGUGAGGGAAAGGCGAAAAGAACCCCUGUGAGGGGAGUGAAAUAGAUCCUGAAACCGCAUGCAUACAAGCAGUGGGAGCACCUUCGUGGUGUGACUGCGUACCUUUUGUAUAAUGGGUCAGCGACUUAUAUUCAGUAGCGAGGUUAACCGUAUAGGGGAGCCGUAGAGAAAUCGAGUCUUAAUAGGGCGUUUAGUUGCUGGGUAUAGACCCGAAACCAGGCGAUCUAUCCAUGAGCAGGUUGAAGGUUGGGUAACACUAACUGGAGGACCGAACCCACUGUCGUUGAAAAGCCAGGGGAUGACUUGUGGAUAGGGGUGAAAGGCUAAUCAAGCCUGGUGAUAGCUGGUUCUCCCCGAAAGCUAUUUAGGUAGCGCCUCGGACGAAUACCAUAGGGGGUAGAGCACUGUUUCGGCUAGGGGGUCAUCCCGACUUACCAAACCUAUGCAAACUCCGAAUACCUAUGAGUACUAUCCGGGAGACAGACUAGCGGGUGCUAACGUCCGUAGUCAAGAGGAAAACAAUCCAGACCGCCAGCUAAGGCCCCAAAAUCAUAGUUAAGCGGGAAACGAUGUGGGAAGGCAUAGACAGCUAGGAGGUUGGCUUAGAAGCAGCCACCCUUUAAAGAAAGCGUAAUAGCUCACUAGUCGAGUCGGCCUGCGCGGAAGAUGUAACGGGGCUAAAACUAUGUGCCGAAGCUGCGGAUGUAUACUUUGUAUACGUGGUAGGGGAGCGUUCUGUAAGCCGAUGAAGGUGUGUUGAGAAGCAUGCUGGAGGUAUCAGAAGUGCGAAUGCUGACGUGAGUAACGACAAAACGGGUGAAAAACCCGUUCGCCGAAAGACCAAGGGUUCCAGUCCAACGUUAAUCGGGGCUGGGUGAGUCGACCCCUAAGGCGAGGCCGAAAGGCGUAGUCGAUGGGAAAAUGGUUAAUAUUCCAUUACUUCUGUGUAAUGCGAUGAGAGGACGGAGAAGGCUAAAUCAGCCUGGCGUUGGUUGUCCAGGUGAAAGGAUGUAGGCAUGUAUCUUAGGCAAAUCCGGGGUACUCUAUGCUGAGAUCUGAUAGCAAGCUGUACUUGUACAGCGAAGUGGUUGAUGCCAUGCUUCCAGGAAAAGUCUCUAAGCUUCAGUUACACAGGAAUCGUACCCGAAACCGACACAGGUGGUCAGGUCGAGUAGACCAAGGCGCUUGAGAGAACUCUGCUGAAGGAACUAGGCAAAAUGGUACCGUAACUUCGGGAGAAGGUACGCUGUUGUUGGUGAUGGAACUCGCUUCCUGAGCUGACGACAGCCGCAGAAACCAGGCCGCUGCAACUGUUUAUUAAAAACAUAGCACUCUGCAAACACGAAAGUGGACGUAUAGGGUGUGAUGCCUGCCCGGUGCUGGAAGGUUAAUUGAUGGGGUUAGCGUAAGCGAAGCUCUUGAUCGAAGCCCCAGUAAACGGCGGCCGUAACUAUAACGGUCCUAAGGUAGCGAAAUUCCUUGUCGGGUAAGUUCCGACCUGCACGAAUGGCAUAAUGAUGGCGGCGCUGUCUCCAGCAGAGGCUCAGUGAAAUCGAAAUCGCUGUGAAGAUGCAGUGUACCCGCGGCUAGACGGAAAGACCCCGUGAACCUUUACUGCAGCUUGACACUGAACUUUGACCUUACUUGUGUAGGAUAGGUGGGAGGCUUUGAAGCUGGAACGCUAGUUCCAGUGGAGCCGUCCUUGAAAUACCACCCUGGUAAUGUUGAGGUUCUAACUCUGUCCCGUGAUCCGGGACGAGGACCGUGUCUGGUGGGUAGUUUGACUGGGGCGGUCUCCUCCUAAAGAGUAACGGAGGAGUACGAAGGUGCGCUCAGCGUGGUCGGAAAUCACGCGUAGAGUAUAAAGGCAAAAGCGCGCUUAACUGCGAGACCCACAAGUCGAGCAGGUACGAAAGUAGGUCUUAGUGAUCCGGUGGUUCUGUAUGGAAGGGCCAUCGCUCAACGGAUAAAAGGUACUCUGGGGAUAACAGGCUGAUACCGCCCAAGAGUUCAUAUCGACGGCGGUGUUUGGCACCUCGAUGUCGGCUCAUCUCAUCCUGGGGCUGAAGCAGGUCCCAAGGGUAUGGCUGUUCGCCAUUUAAAGAGGUACGCGAGCUGGGUUUAGAACGUCGUGAGACAGUUCGGUCCCUAUCUACCGUGGGCGCUGGAAAUUUGAGAGGAUCUGCUCCUAGUACGAGAGGACCAGAGUGGACGAACCUCUGGUGUACCGGUUGUGACGCCAGUCGCAUCGCCGGGUAGCUAUGUUCGGAAGGGAUAACCGCUGAAAGCAUCUAAGCGGGAAGCCUACCUCAAGAUAAGAUUUCCCUAGGACUUUAUGUCCUCUAAAGAGCCGUUCGAGACUAGGACGUUGAUAGGUUGGAUGUGGAAGCAUAGUGAUAUGUGAAGCUGACCAAUACUAAUUGCUCGUGAGGCUUGACUAU